AAGAAGACGCCCAACGCCGGAAUAACCUGAAAGUUAGAGGUAUUCCGGAGGACAUACCUGAUGCCGAGUUACCACAUCUAAUGAGGAGACUUAUGGCUGCACUACUUCUCCCACGGCAGGCUAAAGCUAUACAACUGGAUGGCCAGUUCCGAAUCCCCAAACCGGCCAAGGCCCCAGCAACAUUCCCGCGGGACCUGGUGGUCCAAUUCAAAUCGGGAAUAGACAAAGUAGCAGUCCUUAUGGCCCUCAAGGGAAAG